UCCAAUCUAGGUUUGGUAGAGAGAAUAUAUUUCACUCUUUACCUUCUCUUUCUUCAACUUCUUCUUCGUUUCUUCCGACGAUUCUUCUCCAAACCCACGAACUUCAAUAGCAGCAACCACCACCUCUCCUCUACAGAUCGAAGCUCUUUCUCUUUCAAGUUUGUUGUUGCUGUAUGAAUCAUGGUGAGGAUUGUAAGGAAACUACAGAAUAUGAAUUUCACCAGAAGUUUUUCUACCAAGAAAUCCAAGCCGGUGUUUUACACUAGGUGGCCUAUCCCACCAAUGAACAUCAUCCUCAAGUUCAAUACAGAUGCAUCUGUGAAGGGUCAUGGAAGUAAAUGUGCGUUUGUAGCGAGGGUUCAUGGAGGGAAGUAUGCAGAUGGCAUCAUGGGAGGAAAAAGUAGUCUUGGCAAAUGGGUAAUUGGGGGUUUCCGCCCUUUAGAUAAUAACACAUCCAUAGUUGCUAGCAAAAUUCACGGAAUCUUGUAUGCUAUGGAGGCGGGGGGAAAGAUCAUAGAAAAGCUACCUCAACCACUUCAUUUGUGGAUUGAAAGCGAUGAGAAAGCUGUUGUUGGUGCUGCUAAUGGAGAGAAUGAUAUUAAAUCUGAGUAUCGGGAUAUGGUUACCGAAAUUGUUCAUAAGAAAGAAGAACUUGAAAAAAAAUAAUAUUGUGUGUUUGUUCAGCUAUAUAAAAGGUGAAGCUAACAGUGUUGCACACCUGCUUGCAAGGUUGGACUCGAAGAAGGUGUUGGACAUGCCUACUGUGGAGGAUGUUCCCGAGGACAUUAGGGAUGAAGUUGUAAAAGUGCUCGAAUCUGAUUCCGUGGGGACUAAGUAUCAAAUUAAGAAGAGAAGGUGAAACAAGUUCAAGGUACUGCUCAUUGCCAAUCUUGGAGAUGCAUUGACAGCUAGUAAGGAACACCAAAAAGUUUCAUACUGUAUUUAUUUGGUUGCAUGGGUUGGUUUAAAAUUUGGUCAAUCAUUUUUAAAGCUGCUCUCUCUUUUAUUUUUUUGGUCGUCAGAAAUAGAAUACAUUUGAUUUUCUUAAAGUUAGCCAGGUAUGCUAGUACCAGAAAUAGAAUUCUGGUUUUGCAGAGUUUGAAAGAUACAAGUUAUAUGAUUUGUUUGUCUGUGAUGCCCAAGUUAUAAGGUAGGUUAGUUUUUAUGGCAUCUGAUACGGGUUGAAAAGUGAUGCAAAAUGUUUGUGCUGCAUGAUGCGUCUAGUGGCUAAUACAUCGUUGUUUAGGUGUUCAUAACUUUGUUAGCUGUUGUAUCUGAACAGUACUGAAUUGUUAGAAGCUAUUAUACCACAGCUUUCAACUUGCCAACUUUUUCUGCUGGUUUGGAAUUCAGCAUUCUACACUGUUGAGUUUUACCCCCUGUUAAAGGUUGGAGCUUUGGUUCUGUUGUAGUUUGCUUCUCUUUUAUGUAUGUAGGCAGGAUGAAAAAGUUGAAAGUCUGUGUAGUGGCGGAUGCAUUGUGUACACUGCUUAUGAGUUAUGAUAUUACGAUAGUUGGCAGUUUGUUUACGGCCUCCUCGCCUCAUCUUGUAAAUUGAAGAACAUUUAGGUUUCUGGAAAUUGGCUUCAAGAUGUCUGCUAGUUGGCAGUUUGUUCAUGGACUCCUGGCCUCACAUUGUAAGUUGUCAAAACAUAUAGGUUUCUGGAAAUUGUUUUCGGAAUGGCUGAGUUUCCGGGACUCAUCAUUUACGGUGUCUUUUCAUCUGAGCACCUGUAGGCUUCUUGGUCCUUCUUUGGACUCAAUACUUUAUAUCAUUCUCUUCUUUAUAGUAA